rnacentral:misc_RNA from 1 species
AAGUCGUAACAAGGUCUCCGUAGGUGAACCUGCGGAGGGAUCAUCUAUAAAAAAAAUAUGAUGAUGAUGAUGAUGAUGAUGUUUAUUCAUCAUCAUCAUCAUUAUUCAUAUAUUAUCCAUUAUAGGAUGUUUUGGUGUUGUUAUUAUAUAAUAUUCUUAUAAUGUUGCAGGAUGGAAUUGUGUGUAUGUGUGUGUGUCGGUGUAUGUAUGUGUGUGUGUGUUGUAUGUUGUGUGUUUGUGUUUUAAAGAGUAUUGUUACUCUUUUUAACCUUCCCCACAUACACUCUACUCUUAUUACUACUACCCAUCACUACACCAAUAAAAAACCAACCAGGAUCAUAAAUUCCAAACAAAGUUUAUAACUUUUGGCAACGGAUCUCUUGGUUCUC